rnacentral:rRNA from 1 species
AAGCCCGACAUGUGACGCCGUCUGGUGGAUGACUAGGCUUGAGUGCUGAAGAAGGGCGUGGCAAGCUGCGAUAAGCCACGGGUAGCCGCAUGCAGGCGUAGAUCCGUGGAUACCUGAAUGAGACUUCUUGUUGCAGACUGCUAAGGCGGUCUGUGGCGCUCCCACAAGGGAGCGGGAACCCCCCGAACUGAAACAUCUUAGUAGGGGGAGGAAGAGAAACCAAUACCGGGAUUCCCUGAGUAGCGGCGAGCGAAAAGGGAAGAGUCCAAACCGAACCUCCCAAGGAAACUUGAGAGGGAUGUGGAGUUGAGGGUCCAGCCGCUCUUCUAACCAACUAAGCCGAAGUAGCCUGAAAAGGCUCGCCAAAGAGGGUGAUGGCCCCGUAGGCGUAAACUGGAAGAAGGAUGGGCUGGAAUCCCAGAGUACCAUACCUUGGCAUGGGUUUGGGAAGCUGGAAGCCACUAACUUCCAAGACUAAAUACGACUCAAGACCGAUAGCACACUAGUAAGGUGACCGAAAGUUGAAAAGCAUCCCGGAAGGGAGAUGAAAAGAGCCUGAAACCAGAUGGUAAGAGACGUAUGCAGCCCGAAAGGAUAGAUCCCUCCGAAAGGAAACCAUGGCAACAUGGCGGUACGAGGGAGGGGGACCAGGGUUGCAUUUUCCGUCUAGAAACACGGGCCGGGGAGUUCAUGGCUUUGGCAAGCCUAAAGGUCAAACGGCCUGCAAGCAGAGGGAAACCAACAGGCGCACAACCAGCCUUUGGGCUGGCGAGGCGCGAGGUCUGAAAGGGCCUGGAGUCAAAGCUUUGAAACUAGAAACCGGGCGAUCUAGCCCUGGGCAGGGCGAAGUCAGGCGAAAGCCUGGUGGAGGCCCGAAGGGGUACUGACGUGCAAUUCGUUCCUCAGACCUGGGGCUAGGGGCGAAAGACCAAUCUAGCCCGGUGAUAGCUAGUUCCCUCCGAAGUGGGUCGCAGCCCAGCCCUGAGUGAGGCAGCCGAGUGGGGUAGAGCACUGAUUGGGAGGUAAGGAGUCGGAAGACACCGCUUUCCCUUCAAACUCCGAAUCCCUCGGCGCCAUAGACCUCAGGAGACGGGUUCUAGGGCGUAAGGUCCUAGUCCGAGAGGGGAACAACCCAGACUGGGGUUAAGGCCCCAAAGUGCUGGCUAAGUGUUAAACUGAAAGGUGUCAUCAGCCCCAGACAGCGGGGAGGUAGGCUUAGAAGCAGCUAUCCUUUAAAGAAAGCGUAACAGCUCACCCGCCGAGGCUGAUGGCCCUGAAAAUGGACGGGGCUAAGCCAGCCGCCGAUACCCUGGGGUGCAGCUUAGCGCUGCAAUCCGGUAGGAGGGCGUCCCGACUGGGCGGAAGCUGGGCCGUGAGGUCCAGUGGACCGGUUCGGGAUUGUAGAUCCCGGUGGUAGUAACAGCAAAGAGAAGUGAGAAUCUUCUCCGCCGAAAGGGCAAGGGUUCCCCAGCAACGCGUCGUCAGCUGGGGGUAAGUCGGUCCUAAGACCAGAGCUAACCUAUCUGGCCGAAAGGGAAGCAGGUUAAUAUUCCGGCACCAUGGAGAUACACGCGGUGACGCAAGCUCAACGUCUAACGCUUUGGGGUAGGCUGAGCGAGGCCGUCGCCUUGUUUAACCAUACUAAGCCUGGGGAGUGCCGUAAUGGCGAGAACCAGGCUAAAGUGGGAAUAGCCGCCCGUAUUUAGGGCGGUUCAGCUGAUCUCUGGAGUCCCUGAAAAGGACGCUGAGAAGGAUUCUCCGUGGCCGUACCCAGAACCGUCACAGGUGUCCCUGGGCGAGAAACCCAAGGCGUGUCGGGUGCACACCAAGCGAGGGAACUCGGCAAAUUAGCCCCGUAACUUUGGGAAAAGGGGUGCCUGCGUUUCUGGUUUCGGCUGGGACUGCAGGUCGCAGUGUCAAAGGGGUCCCGACUGUUUAAUAAAAACACAGGGAGCCGCAAGCCCGAAAGGGUGUGAACGGCUUCUGAAUCCUGGCCAGUACAGGUACCUAAAACCUGGGUUCAACCGGGCUAAGGGCCUGCAAACGCCGGGAGUAACUCUGACUCU